AUGGUAUUUAGUUUAAAGCAAAAUAAAUGAUUUCGACUCAUUAGAUUAUGAUUAGACUCAUAACUACCAA
rnacentral:tRNA from 1 species